rnacentral:rRNA from 1 species
AUUGAACGCUGGCGGCAUGCCUUACACAUGCAAGUCGAACGGCAGCACGGGUGCUUGCACCUGGUGGCGAGUGGCGAACGGGUGAGUAAUACAUCGGAACAUGUCCUGUAGUGGGGGAUAGCCCGGCGAAAGCCGGAUUAAUACCGCAUACGAUCCACGGAUGAAAGCGGGGGACCUUCGGGCCUCGCGCUAUAGGGUUGGCCGAUGGCUGAUUAGCUAGUUGGUGGGGUAAAGGCCUACCAAGGCGACGAUCAGUAGCUGGUCUGAGAGGACGACCAGCCACACUGGGACUGAGACACGGCCCAGACUCCUACGGGAGGCAGCAGUGGGGAAUUUUGGACAAUGGGCGAAAGCCUGAUCCAGCAAUGCCGCGUGUGUGAAGAAGGACUUCGGGUUGUAAAGCACUUUUGUCCGGAAAGAAAUCCUUGACUCUAAUACAGUCGGUGGAUGACGGUACCGGAAGAAUAAGCACCGGCUAACUACGUG